rnacentral:rRNA from 1 species
GUAGAGCGGCGCACGGGUGAGUAACGCGUGGGUAACCUACCUCCGGGCGGGGGAUAACUACUCGAAAGGGUGGCUAAUACCGCAUGAGACCACGGGGCCUUCGGGUCCUGGGGCCAAAGGCGGCACCGGCUUGCCGGUGCUGUCACCUGGAGACGGGCCCGCGUACGAUUAGCUAGUUGGUAGGGUAACGGCCUACCAAGGCUGCGAUCGUUAGCUGGUCUGAGAGGAUGACCAGCCACACUGGAACUGGAACACGGUCCAGACUCCUACGGGAGGCAGCAGUGGGGAAUAUUGCGCAAUGGGGGAAACCCUGACGCAGCAACGCCGCGUGGGUGAAGAAGGCCUUCGGGUCGUAAAGCCCUUUCGGACGGGACGAACGCUUCGCGGUGACAACCCGCGAAGCCUGACGGUACCGUAAGAAGAAGCACCGGCUAACUCCGUGCCAGCAGCCGCGGUAAUACGGAGGGUGCAAGCGUUGUUCGGAAUUACUGGGCGUAAAGCGCGUGUAGGCGGCCUGGCAAGUCAAGUGUG